UACGUAGGGCGCAAGCGUUGUCCGGAAUUAUUGGGCGUAAAGAGCUCGUAGGCGGCUUGUCACGUCGGGUGUGAAAGCCCGGGGCUCAACCAUGUGGUCUGCAGUCGAUACGGGCAGGCUAGAAUUCGGUAGGGGAGACUGGAAUUCCUGGUGUAGCGGUGAAAUGCGCAGAUAUCAGGAAGAACACCCGUGGCGAAGGCGGCUCUCUGGGACGGUACUGACGCUGAGACGCGAAAGCGUGGGGAGCGAACAGG
rnacentral:rRNA from 1 species